rnacentral:rRNA from 1 species
UACAGAGGUCUCGAGCGUUAGGCGGAAUCACUGGGCUUAAAGCGUGUGUAGGUGGAUCGUUAAGUACCUUGUGAAAUCCCACGGCUUAACCGUGGAACUGCUUGGUAUACUGGCGGUCUUGAGUCAGCUAGGGGCUACCGGAACAAAUGGUGGAGCGGUGAAAAUGCGUAGAUAUCAUUUGGAACGCCAAUGGUGAAAACAGGUAGCUGGGGGCUGUACUGACACUGAGACACGAAAGGCCAGGGGAGCAAAACGGGG